rnacentral:lncRNA from 1 species
GGCAGAGUGGGCACCAUGAGGAACUUUUUUGUGGGGUGGGGUGGGGUGAGGCCUGGGUAGACAGCUCUCAUCUGGCCAGGUCUCAAGGAACAAUCACAAGGUCUUGAGCUACAUCCCUACCACCCAGCUUCAAAAUAAAUAAAUAAAAGAAACAGUGAGGCAUGGUGGCUCAUAGGCGUGGUAGGAAGGGAGAAGCAGAGGGUCCCUGAGGCUUGCUAACUGGCCAGUGUAGCAGAACUGGAAAGGCCUAGGUUCAGUAAGAGACCCUAGCUCCCAAAACAGGUGGUGAACAAUCGGGGAAACACCUGGCCUCUUCAUACAUGCACACACACACACCAUUUCCUCUUCUCUUUCCCCCAUCUUCC